CCUCAUGUUCUUGGCAGGCCCCGGCCGCCCCGUGCCCGGGUCUGUGAUGUCCGGAGGUAGAGCAGCGACUCUUUCACGGGCACCCCCUUGUCGUGGGGAAAGAG
rnacentral:snoRNA from 1 species